UACGGAGGGGACUAGCGUUGUUCGGAAUUACUGGGCGUAAAGCGCACGUAGGCGGAUUUGUUAGUCAGGGGUGAAAUCCCGAGGCUCAACCUCGGAACUGCCUUUGAUACUGCAAAUCUCGAGUCCGGAAGAGGUGAGUGGAAUUCCUAGUGUAGAGGUGAAAUUCGUAGAUAUUAGGAAGAACACCAGUGGCGAAGGCGGCUCACUGGUCCGGUACUGACGCUGAGGUGCGAAAGCGUGGGUAGCAAACAGG
rnacentral:rRNA from 1 species